UGAUGCAUGGCUGUCGUCAGUUCGUGGUUUGAACUGUUCCCUUAAGUGGGGUAACGAACGCAACCCUCGUCGUGUGUUAUAUAUGUCACACGAGACUGCCACGUUUAUCGUGGAGGAAGCGAGGAUGACGCCAAGUCAGCAUGUCCCUCUGAUGUCCUGGGCUACACGCAUGAUACAAUGGCCGACACAACGAGUUGCAACAUCGAAAGGUGAAGCUAAUCUUAAUAAAGUCGGCCCCAGUUCGGAUUGAGGUCUGCAACCCGACCUCAUGAAGCCGGAAUCGCUAGUAAUCGCAGGUCAGACAUACUGCGGUGAAUACGUUCUCAAGUCUUGUACUCACUGCCCGUCAAGUCAGGGGAGCCGGGAGUACCUGAAGCUCACAUUUAUGUGAUCCAAGGUAAGCUUGGUGACAAGGAUUAAGUCGUAACAAGGCACGGGUAGCGGAAGCUGCUCGUGGAUUAUUUUAAAG
rnacentral:rRNA from 1 species